CAUUUUUGUGCAAGGCUCCAAGCAGAUCCCACAUUCAUCCUCCCUCUCUAAAUCUGUAUCUGAAAGUUUCCUCCUUUCCUCUAGUCUCUUUUUAACUACCUCCAUACAACCUUCUUCCUGAGUCGUGUCCAACUCCAUUGAAUCACCAUGAAGAUAUUGAAGUGAUGGUAAUAUAACAGCUGCAACUUUAAAUCAGUCAGAGCACGAACAAAUAAAAUUAUUUGCAAAACAAGAAGAUUCAGGCAGUAUUAUAUGUCCUACUCAAAAUUUCCCAUAUGUCUACUAAAUAGAAUAAUUUUUAAAUGUUACAUUAAACAAUGAAUUAAUCAUUUCCAUCCUUCCAACCAUGUUUCAUGUACCAAUCCAAUUAACAGACAUCAGAUACAAAAAAGAACAGAUAAUUUACACACCAUAGAAUUCCCUAAUGGUUGCUUUCCUUCUGCAUGAAGAAAUCUUUGGCCUCCCAUCAGAGCAUACCUGAUAUAAAACUAUGUGGAAAAGAUUUAAAUAACUUGAAGGUAGACAUGUACACGAACAAUCCAUCCACUGGAGUAACAGCAAACAAAUGGGUGCCAAGUGAUUGUAAACCAGUUUCAUUUGCAGACAAGAACCACUCUUGCCUCUUGGUAUAGAAGCCGCCAACACAUUAGCGUGGUGGAUAUCAGCCUCGAGAACCUUAAGAGACUCUUGGUAAGAAGACCUGGCUGCAAGCUCAUAGUAAUCCAUCAUCUCUCUCCCCUUGCAAAAUGUGGUCUAAGCUUAUUUAAACUAAUGUUUUGUACAGAAAAAGAAAAAUAGGAAGAAAUGGUCAAAGAGAGAAAAGAAAAAGAAAGAAUGGCUGAAUUUGGAAAGAGUUGGCGGACUCCACCCUCAGAGUUUCUUGAUUGUUGAACAAAAAUGCAAGACUAAAGAAGGAAAGUUCUUUGGCUUCUGGACAGGGCGUGCUUGUGUAGGAGGCUAACUUGGUCAUGAUGAUUAGCCCGCUGGUUAAAAGAAUUAGGAGAGAGUUGAGAUAUAAUCCAGGGGUGG
rnacentral:misc_RNA from 1 species